rnacentral:rRNA from 1 species
AGGCGCUGCAUGGCUGUCGUCAGUUCGUGGCGUGAGCUGUUGGGUUAAGUCCUAGAACGAACGCAACCCUCUUGAUAUGUGUAUAUUUUUUAGUAUACCUUAUCAUACUGCCAGUGACAUACGGGAGGAAGGUGAGGAUGACGUCAAGUCCGCAUGGCCCUUAUGGGUUGGGCUACACACGUGCUACAAUGGCGGAAGCAAAAGGUGGCAAUAUGGUGACAUGGAGCAAAUCCUUAAAAGCCGUCGUAGUUCGGAUUGUUCUCUGCAACUCGAGAACAUGAAGAUGGAAUCGCUAGUAAUCGUAGAUCAGCAUGCUACGGUGAAUUUGU